UCAAGCUAUAGGUUUGACCUAAGCUCUUGGGAUAAAUGAAGGCCAACGUGGCCAAACACUAGUAAUGGGUCAAGAUUAUCUACACACAUAACUUAGUAUAGUGAGGUAUUGUAUUGAUAUUAGUAGUAGUCACUUGUAGAAUAGGCCCUGAUCGUGUGGCACUUAAAUAAAGGAUUUAUUUACAAAUAAAUAUACUUUAUUUCAUACUAGUUAAGAGAGAGAAUUCAAAAUAUAAAGUUAGUGAUGAGAGAAUGAUAGGAAGGCUACGUGGCAACCUUAGAGAAUUAACCUCAAAGAAUCAACAAAGAGAUAUAGUUUGUUAUUGUUUGUUUGACUCAAAGGAGAGUCUUUCUCAGUAGGUUUGUGAUUGGGUAGUGAGGUAUAGUUACUUAUUUGAAUUCUUUUAAAAUUAACCUUAAUUAAUUGAAGAGCCACGCCCUGACUGAAAAAUAGGGUGUGUGGUUAGUGUCUAAGGUUAUAAAUAGAGGGUUUCUCUCAUCAUUUCUCACUCACAUCCAACACUAAAGAUACUUCCUAGCUCUCUUGACCAGCACCCCACAGUCAUCAUCUAGUAUUAUAUUUUCAUCACCACCACCAUUGUUAUCAUCCAAGCUCUAUCUAAUCUCUAUCCUUCAUACCCCAUAGUUGAACCUUGAGUUCUUUUCUAAUAUAUACAACAAUCACUUCCCAUACCACCUCAUAUCACCAUACAUUACCAUCAACUUGUAACCAUAUUCUUUAGUUGAGACGUGGGCGUAGAAACCGUUGUUACUACGAUUGCCUUUUUAAAUCUUGUUGAGUAAUAUCAUCACCAUUGCCAUCAUUAUUCCAUUUUCUUUCAUUGGUCAUCAUAGGGUAAUUUGGGUUGCACGUGGUGGCUGAAACAUAAGGAAGGAGUUGCAAGAUUUUGAGCUCUAAAAUAUUUCUCAUAUACUUGCCUAUAUUUCUCUUUGAGAACUAAGGACUUCGUGAGUGAAGCAUGCAAUAAUUCUCAGUGUCACUCCUGAAAUCAAAGUUAGAAUCUCCACAUUCGAGAUUAAGGUUCUAAAACUUAGAGAGCCGGUGGCAAGUGAGACCUUGGAGGCUUGUGUGUGAACUCGCUGAGGACCAUAUAACUGAGGGUGGUCUAGGGCACGCUCCAUUAUUUUAAUUAGUGUUAUUAAAUUAAUGUCGCAGUUAUUUUUAUUUAUUAAUUAUUAUGUCUUUUAAGUCCAAACUGAGCUCAAAUAUGAAAUAUUUUAUGUUUAUAAAUAAAAGCGACAUUACAGUUUUUUCCGCAUUUUAACGCUUGUAACUAAAUUAGUAAGUUA